rnacentral:tRNA from 1 species
CCUUCGAUAGCUCAGUUGGUAGAGCGGUGGACUGUAGCCGGUGUCAUUGUAAUCCAUAGGUCGCUGGUUCAAAUCCGGCUCGAAGGA